UCCUACGGGAGGCAGCAGUGGGGAAUUUUCCGCAAUGGGCGAAAGCCUGACGGAGCAAUACCGCGUGAGGGAAGACUGCCUAUGGGUUGUAAACCUCUUUUUUCAGGGAGGAAUCAAUGACGUGUACCUGAAGAAUAAGCAUCGGCUAACUCCGUGCCAGCAGCCGCGGUAAGACGGAGGAUGCAAGUGUUAUCCGGAAUCACUGGGCGUAAAGCGUCUGUAGGUGGUUAAGCAAGUCAACUGUUAAAUCUUGAGGCUCAACUUCAAAAUCGCAGUCGAAACUGUUUGACUAGAGUAUAGUAGGGGUAAAGGGAAUUUCCAGUGGAGCGGUGAAAUGCGUAGAUAUUGGAAAGAACACCGAUGGCGAAAGCACUUUACUGGGCUAUUACUAACACUCAGAGACGAAAGCUAGGGUAGCAAAUGGGAUUAGAUACCCCAGUAGUCCUAGCCGUAAACAAUGGAUACUAGAUGUUGAACAGAUCGACCUGUGCAGUAUCAAAGCUAACGCGUUAAGUAUCCCGCCUGGGAAGUAUGCUCGCAAGAGUGAAACUCAAAGGAAUUGACGGA
rnacentral:rRNA from 1 species